GGCGGGGUAGCUCAGUGGUAGAGCGGCGGAUUCAUAAACCGUUGGUCGUGGGUUCAAGUCCCUCCCCCGCCA
rnacentral:tRNA from 1 species